AAUGAACGCUAGCGGCGUGCUUAAGGCAUGCAAGUCGAACGAGAAAGUUUCCUUCGGGGAAUGAUUAAAGUGGCGCACGGGUGAGUAAGACUUAGGUAAUGUACCAUUUCACUGGGGACAACUACGGGAAACUGUAGCUAAUACCGAAUACUCCCUAAAGGACUGCGGUCUUUAAGGGGAAAGCCUUCGGGCGUGAAAUGAGCAGCCUGAGCCCCAUUAGCUUGUUGGUAGGGUAAAAGCCUACCAAGGCAACGAUGGGUAGCUGGUCUGAGAGGAUGAUCAGCCACACUGGUACUGGAAUACGGACCAGACUCCUACGGGAGGCAGCAGCUAGGAAUAUUGCGCAAUGGGGGAAACCCUGACGCAGCAACGCCGCGUGAGUGAGGAAGGUUUUCGGAUCGUAAAGCUCUUUUAGCAGGGAAGAAAAAAAUGACGGUACCUGCAGAAUAAGCACCGGCUAACUCCG
rnacentral:rRNA from 1 species